rnacentral:rRNA from 1 species
UACGGGGGGUGCGAGCGUUGUCCGGAAUCACUGGGCGUAAAGGGCGCGUAGGUGGUUUGAUAAGGGUGUGGUGAAAGUCCGGGGCUCAACCCCGGAUCUGCCGUGCCGACUGUCAAACUCGAGGACUGUAGAGGCAGACGGAAUUCCGGGUGUAGCGGGUGGAAUGCGUAGAGAUCCGGAGGAAGACCGGUGGCGAAGGCGGUCUGCUGG